AUAUGACACGAUGUUGAUCGAUUUUAACAGUUCAAACCAAUUCAAAUGGAUAUCCCUAAGGAGCAUCUCUAUAAUGCCUCAGUGCUUCCGGUCCUUCCUUUCUCGAAAGCACUGCGAAGGCUGCCGGCAGCGUGGUUGUUCCUUUCGCGAGUUGGUGUCUGGCGCACAGCGCGAACGUCUCAUGAGCAAGAAGCCGUAGAGACGAUGCUCUCAAUGUUGGACACCGAAGUGAGGCAACUCAUCGGGCACAACGCCAAAAUGUCCCUGUUGUGUCCUGGCCCUGGGUCACGCGUGUCGCGCCUUGACAGCCGUGACCUUGAACGACCUUGACCGGCCGGGCCGGGCCGAGCGGCCGAGGGUCAGUAUCGUCCGAGCGGCGCUGGUGUCAACACAGCUGAGUGCCGCGAGGUGAGGUGAGGCGUGUUCGCCGAGACGGUCCGGCCACAGUGAAAUAGUGAAAUAGUGGUGUAAUCGAUAAUAUGCGUGGCCAGUACGCGAGUGAGAUUGACCCUGUGCGCGACACCGAUUCAGAGACGCACAUAAGUUAACACCGUCGUGUCGGAUCGCUCGUACCGGUGAUGGGAGACAACGAGCAGCUGGAGCGUCUGAUGGCGCUCAUGGUUCAGCAGUCAGCAGGCUGCCAUGCUGGAGUAGCUCCUCCCCAGCCAGAUGCAGCUACCAGUUGCGCAAACUGUCUAGAGCGGCCAACCGGCUGUCGUCGCCUCCGCCGCUCCUAUGGCUAGACUUCGGUCUCACAUGGACUGCCGUCGGUAGUGUUCACAUGCCAGCCCAUACAUUUUACCUGUAUUAACUUUUUAAUGUCUGUGCCUGUGUAACUAUUGUACGUGCCUGUACUUAACAGUGUUUGAAUUGUACAUCGUUCGCACAGUCUGUGGACCGCAUGGGGAACGCCGCUUGACAUGCAUUUUUGCACUUACCUGCAUUCCGUGUUAAAAGUAAAGUAAAGGGACUGAGCUGUCGUGCACCGGGAGAUAUUAUGGUCUCUUGCUAAACGACACAGUUGAAACUCAGCACGCUGGUCGGUACUGACUGGGGCGGCAAGCGAAAGGGUUUGGGCAGCUUUUGAAACAAAAUGUUCGCAUCGAAUGACUGCAUCGCAUGUUCUGUUCCAGAGUGAGUUUUUUGACAUCUGACACAAUAAAUAUACAUGCCUGUUCUU